GAUCUAAAAUAGAUGCAUGAUCAGGGGAGGAAGAUGGUGAAGCCAAAGAUGACUGCUAAAGUUUCGCUACUCCUUGAUCAUCUUGCCCAAAACUAAGGAUAUAGCUUCACCAGAUCUUCGACAAGAAAAUCAUGCAACUCCACCGCAAAUUCAACCCCAGUAGGUCCACCACCGAUAAUCACAAAGUGAAGGAUCUUCCUUCUCUCCUCUUCACUGAGGUUAGGAGGUGACGCCUUUUCAAAGUAGUCUAUCACGCUCUUCCGAAUCUUUUGGGCAUCCUCCAUUACCUGACAUUUACAAUGUGAGGCUGUAAGCACAAGAUAUGACUAAUACUGUACGGUACAAUAACCUAAAGUAUCAAUACCAUAUAUCUCAAGAUUUAGCAGGAAAUUAAAGUAUAACUUACAUCUUAGGAUUGAAACAUGAGAAAUAGCAGAACAGUAAAGAGACACACAAUGCCAAUAAGGAUUUGACCUUCAGAAAGUGGCAAUGCCCCAUCACACCAGGAGUGUUGAAUGUAUUCACAGUAACUCCAAGAGCAACAACCAAGUAAUCAUAAUCAACCAUGAAAUCACCAUUCCCGUCCAAAUUAGUCCCAAUAGCAGAGCGGCAGUGGACGGCUUUCGUCGGAUCGAUCUUGAAGCACUCUGGUAAAUAUUCACAGGAGAGAGAGAGAGAGAGAGAGAGAGAGAGAGAGAGAAACAGCAGAGCGGCAGUGGACGGCUUUCGUCAGAUCGAUCUUGAAGCACUGGUAAAUAUUCACAUGUCUGAUUGGAGAGAGAGAGAGAGAGAGAGAGAGAGUUUGCUGAAGCUCACCUCGGUGUGUUGGCAUCGGAUAUGUGGCGUUCAAUGUGGACUCCUUAGCCAAACACUAAGUUAUUUAAACAGGUCUGGGAUUAUUCUGAGAUGGCAUCGGAUAUGUGAAGCACUCAAUCUCUAUAGCCAAACACUAUGCAUGCUGAAAUAACUAAGUUUUGUUUUCAACGGAAUUCUGAGAUUAUUCCAUUCUCAAGCAAGUACACAUAUGCGAAACACCUUUUCAGUGAAGAAGCAUAGUGGAAGGCACCAUCCAGCCAUGAAUAUAAAUAAAAUGAAAGGACAACCAAUGAAAAUAUCUACAACAAAAGCAUUCCACUAAGAUGGAUCAUUAGUAAAUUACCAGUAUCAUGUAUCCCUUGGCCUCCUUUGCGAGCGCCUGCUAAAGCAGAGUAGAGCAAGUGCUAGGUAGCUUAAUUUUUCACGCGAGACACACAAGCAAGAGUGAAGCUGCACGAGAAGAUACCUUAGAGAAGCCAUCAGAGUAACCAGACGGCGAGCUGAAUAAGUGUGUGACCUACUGGUGGCCGCCAUCUGGGUCGGGCCCCUCCUCCCACGGCAGCAAAUCCUCGCGGCACCACUGUCACAUGCUAGGCCUGAAGCGCGACGGAGUUAGGGUGGUGGACAAGAAGGGUGAUGCCACAGCGGACGGCGAGGCUGGGUCAAUAACAUGCCAUCAUAUUUUAAUUUUAUUUUGGCAAAAAGGAGAUAGAAAUGUAGCAACCUGGCAUAACUAAUUAACUAUUCUAAUUUAAGGAGGAUGAUUGCAUGUAAUCACUAAUCGUAAGUAAUCAACAAGGCUAAAUGAUGGAAUGAGAAGAGGAAUGUAUUUCAUGAAAUAGAGCAAGAGACAAAAACUUGAAAGGAAAAAACACUCAACGCUUGCAUGUGAAGAACAUCAUAUAAAAUGGAUGGUCACCAAUCAGGAAAUGUGCAAAAUAUGUAAUGGAAUUUCUUUGAACUAACUACAAUACAUCGUCUGUGAAGCAAGAGUGAGAAAAUACCAGGAACAUGAUUAGUGUAGUAGUUCUCUGGCUCACACUACACAGGAGCUGCUGUUGUGGCAGGAAUUAAGGGCAAGGAGAGUAGGCGCACAUGCUUGUUGGAGAUCCUUGGCUGGCCGGUCGAACACGCAGCCACAGCAGAGAGAGUACCGCUACCCUAGAACAAGCACAUGUUAAAUGGAAAAAUCCCUAACAAGAGAUUUUCUUUUGCACAGGAAGUAUCAAUGCCUCACAUUUUCAAAGGCAAAGGGGCUCCAAAUUUCACGAAGAUAUAAGAUGCUAAUAUAAGAUGGAAGCAUCCAAGCAAAUCUUUCAUUCACCAAAUGAAGUGUCUUAACUUUGGUUGCUCAGGCAAAAUUUCUUGUCAGCUGUUGCAUGUUCAGCUGGUGUCACCAACCUUGCAUAUUCGUUGUCCUUUAUGUUUUGGCCAGAAUGCUCAAUUCCAUUAUUGCAUGAUGCCACAGCUGAAGAGCUUGGCAUUCUUGCGACCGUCUUACCACCUCUGUUUACAAGCCAAGAAAUAUUAGGAAAGAAAAUUGAUAAGGCACAAAAGCAAAUCUUAUUUAUUUGUGUCACAUUUGUAGGAUUAAGGUUGACAUAUGACUACCCUUGUCUAAAUUAGAGUUGCACAUGCCCAACUCCAUAUUAUUUCCGUUACAGCUAUUUACACACAUAACUGAACUCGCACUCAAAUGCACUAGUUUGAUGGCAUGGUGUAGUGUAACAAGCAGUCGCUCAAUCAUAAUAUUCAUAGUAGCUUGGAUGUGAAAUUGGAUACAUCAUUAGAUUCUUCUCAAAGCAAAAUUUUGAGUAAUGCUACUCAUAUCCUAGUCAAAUUAGGAAUGGAGAUCUGUGCUACAAGGAUUCCUAAAUGAAUCCUAGUCUCAUGAAACACCUGUUAUCUUCAUGAAACACAUGUUAUCUUUAAAACCAUGAUACUUGGCCACAGGGAACCAAAGCAACGAUCCAAAGGAAAUAAAAUUAUGUAAUCUGAAGCCAAUAUCAGAAUGUAACAUACUCAUAAGCUGCCUGAAUCGUUCUUGAAUCUCAUUCACCUUUCUACACUCUUGAAUCAACAUCCAACCAUUUUGAUCACAAAUCCCAACCUCACGCCACAUAUCAAACUAAAAACUGCAGACAUAUGUUUGCUAAGGAAACUGAGAUUUACGUAAAGCUCAGACUUUACUAAGAAUUUCAAAAAGAUCUCUUCUCUUUGUUGUCAUUCCUCCUAAAUUCAGAAUGCAUGGGUCAUAGAAGAACACUCAUUCUUUUAGCACAAACUCAUGGGAAAAACUGGAUGUGGCUUGAGGAGAUGCCUCACCUUGAACCGGCGCACAGAUCGCCGCCGCCUAGCACGAGUGCCUUGUCCAGGGAGGAGGCCUGAGCCUCUGACGAUGACAUCGCCAAGCAGUCGCUCAAUCAUAAUAUUCAUAGUAGCUUGGAUGUGAAAUUGGAUACAUCAUUAGAUUCUUCUCAAAGCAAAAUUUUGAGUAAUGCUACUCAUAUCCUAGUAAAAGUUAAUAAAAUAAGCAAAUGUAAAAGCAGCAAAUAAUUCGUCAUAUGAGCUAUAAUAGGAAAUCGUAAUUACAGUAAAGUUUCAUAACAAUAUACGUCGCAGCCCAGAUAUAUUGUUACUAUGCUUUUCACACCCCAAGGCUUCCUCGACGCUGGCUUCUUGUUCUCUCAAACUUGGAAAGAGAAGUUUGCAUAAUGAAAAUGAAUAAUACGAAUGCAAGGAUUUUACUCGGCUUUAGAGUGCCUGUGGACCCGAUGCUACCCUGCUCCCCCAGCACGGCGGCCUGUUGGGCGGCGAGGAAGAGGUAGCAGCGGCCCGAGCUGGCUCGGGGUGCAAUCUUCAAGUAUAUAUUGUGACCACCUUAUUUGUUGAUACUAAGAAAUGUAAGAAGAAGCUAGAGUAGUGAAGGUUUAGAUGUUGUACUGGUCAGCGAAUCUACACUACACUGUUUGGAAGAGCGUCGGACUGAUCCAGCCAUUUCUGACCAGAGACGCACCAAAGUCUGACCUAACAACCCCUCUUUUCUUCUCUCGCCUCCUCACAUAUUAAAAAUAUUGCGUAUUAAAUUUAUUUAGCAAAGGAAAGCUCAAUGAGAAUUGAAUAACUUGGAAUACAUAAGCGACAAUUAAAUGCGGCAUUCAACCAAGGCAAAAAUUUAAUAUUUUGUAUGCCUUCUUUUUACUGUCGGCAAAGCCGAGAACACAUCCAUAGUCACUGCGGACAAAAUAAAACAAGACACAUUACUGAGAUUAAACACCAUGGCAGAGUACCAUUCAGUCUUAUGUGGGAUUUAGGCAAGUGUGCUACUGUAGUAAGAAAAUAAAUAAAGAGAUUAAUAUGCAAAUUGGCCUAUAGUUUAAAGAAUCAAACUCAAAACGUAACUUCCAACCAUAUCUUCAGUGAAGAAAUUUAACUUGAGCAUAAGAGGGGAAUUUAUUGCUACACCUAUAUGCUUUUGAUCCUCGCACGGGCAGUCACUGCUUUGAUUUCUUCCCUGGCCCAACUCGCUUUAAACCACCGGGGUUUCUUAAUUUCAAGAUGUGUAUAUAGACAAUUUGAAUGACUAUAUGAAUUGAAAGUACAUAGAUAAACAUAUAAGAGAAGAUGCAGCACCAGCACCUGUUGUUCUUGGGCGUCUGAAUCUGAUCAUCCUUUUCUUCGGCAUCAAGCGAAGAAGCAUCAGCCUGAGCAUCAGGGGUGGCCUGAAUCGCAAAACAAAACGGAUCAGAAUGCAAAGAUGUGUAUAUACAGCUCGGCUGCUGGAGCACAGGUUUACUCUGGUGCAGCAGUUUUGUUGGCCUCACCUGCUUUGUCAAAACCUAAGAAAAGAAAACCAAAUCUUCUCUUCUAACUUCAAGUCACCAAUAAGAGAGGAAGCAGUUGGUACAGAAUAACUGCUGCAACUACGAAAAGAAAAACUGGAAAUUUUACUUAUGCACAGUAUAGUGCCUAGCCAUCAAUUGAAUAUAGGUGUAGUACAACAGCUCUUACAGACAUUAGCACAAACAAUUUGCAGGCAAACUUAUACCUGGCAGAACACAACCUAAGAGAAGGCAAAAUUCCACCCCAAGAACAUAGGCAGAAUGCAUAUGUAAGUGCAAAUCGCCAUGGUUAUUGGCCUAUCAACCAACAACAGUUCAGAGAGACAAAUGCUAGCAAGGGAUUGCCUAGAAUUUUGCCAUAUGCUCUUUCCUUUGUCCAAAUAACUUCAUAUUUGGUGCUAAAGUUACUAAUUCGUCUUGGAAGAAGGAAUCCAUCAUGAGAUGGAAAGGAGAGAAUAAAAUCACUGACUAUCAAUUGAGAGAGGGGAGAAAGGGAGUCGAGCUUACCUCGAUGUUGUGUAUCGUGGCGUCGAGCAAGAGCCGCUGGUGGUGCCGUCAUGGAAGGAGGUGCUCCAUCGAGGAGCCACCACUGGUGCCAUGGCAUCAGAAGAGGUGCAGCCAGGGAUGAGACGAGGAUACACCGCCAGACUCCUUCUUCCUCUUCCCCUGUGAGAUCCUUCUUUCACUCCCUUGAUUCACCUCUUCUCCUGCUCCCUCUCACUUGCUGCCCUCCAUCUUCGGCGGAUCCACGGCGCUGGAAGCUGGUGGGGCGAGGUGGCCGAAGGAGGAGGCGUGUGGAUCUGGGCCGGCCGGAUCAGCAACCCCGGCUCCUCCUGUUGAGCACGGAGGCCCUCAUUUUCUCUUUCUCCCGCAGGGACCGAUCCAUGGCUGGAUCGAUUCGAGCGUCGCCCUUCCCUUGCAGGUUGCUGCCGCGCCCGCACGCCUCGGGUCCGGUGGGAUCCGGGAUGACGAGGGGGGAUGGGAUGCGUGAGGGGAAGGUCGCCGCCGCGCCACCAUCUCCACACUCCUACACCACCAGAGGGUGCCGCCGCCACCAUCUCCCCCCUCCUCCUCCGCCACCAGAGGGCGCCGCUGCCACCAUUGUCGAGGGAGUGGAGGGGAUGAGGAGCUUGGGAAGGCGGCUGUAGGGGGAAAAGAUUUAGGGUUGGAGACUGAGGGAACGGGAGGAGAAAGCGGACGGGCGCGGGGCUCAUCACGACGCGGUGGUUUUUUCCCUCACGUGGUGCGCUGCACCCCCACGCGCGGGCGCGGCGUGGUGGUUUUUUCGCCUCGCGUGGUGCCGUGCGCUCGAGGCAUCGGUUAUGACUAGCACUUCUUGAGGCUUUAUAUGUUAGAUUUGGUAAAUGGAAUAUUAGCUCUAAAUUUUUACUGUGAGUCUGUGACCCCACCUGUGCUAUUGGAGACAAGAACCCGAAUGAUUGAGAUGGUGUCACAUGGAUUACCUAGCAUGGAGGUAUAUCUAAUUCUCAUUUUAUCCCAUCUAAUUAUUUCUUGGUUCUAGUUUGGGAACUAAAUCUAGAGCCCAUACUGAUUGUUCGAUGUUUUACCCUGCUGCCUAAAAAGAAGAAGUGUUUAUCCCGCUUAAGAUAUGUUGUUCUCUUCAGGUUCCGCUCAAGCAUUCAGGGUCUCUGUGUGCAUGUAUGCUGCUGGUGCAUAUGCCAAGAACGGCUUUGGAAAUAUCUUGGGGGAGGGGGCUUGGUGGGCCGGGGCGGUCAGAAGCGGGCAUGCUCGGUGGGACGACAACAGCGCAGGCGCCACCGUUUUCGUCGGCGGCGGUGCGUGGUUCGCGAGCGAGGGAUGAGGGGGCUUGGUGGGCCAAGGCGGUCAGAAGCAGGCAAAGCCUCCUGUUUGUCUCCGGUUUGCGAGAGAAAAAUGCUCCCGGAUUAUCAUGCAGACCGAUAUUGGUACACAUUAGAUGACUUUCACUGUUCAGACAUAUGCAGGCCAUAUGAGGUCGGCGUUGGAGAUGCCCUUAUUGGGUGGAGAGAAAAAUGGAUUAUAUUUUUUUGACAUGGAGAAAAACGGAUGGUUUUGAUUG